rnacentral:rRNA from 1 species
UACAGAGGGGGCAAGCGUUGUUCGGAAUUACUGGGCGUAAAGGGCGCGUAGGCGGCCUGUUAAGUCGAACGUGAAAUCCCCGGGCUCAACCCAGGAACUGCGUCCGAUACUGGAAGGCUUGAAUCCGGGAGAGGGAUGCGGAAUUCCAGGUGUAGCGGUGAAAUGCGUAGAUAUCUGGAGGAACACCGGUGGCGAAGGCGACUCACUGGACAUGUAUUGACGCUGAGGUGCGAAAGCGUGGGGAGCAAACAGG